rnacentral:rRNA from 1 species
GACGAACGCUGGCGGCGUGCCUAAUACAUGCAAGUAGGACGCAGUUGCGAACGGGUGAGUAACGCGUAGGUAACUGCCUAUUAGUGGGGGCUAACUAUUGGAAACGAUAGCUAAUACCGCAUACUAGUAGAUGGACCUGCGUUGUAUUAGCUAGUAGGUAGGGUAAUGGCCUACCUAGGCGACGAUACCUAGCCGAGCUGAGGGGGUGAUCGGCCACACUGGGCCUGAGACACGGCUCAGACUCCUUCGGGAGGCAGCAGUAGGGAAACUUCGGAAAUGGGGGGAAGCCUGACCAGGCAACGCCGCGUGAGUGAAGAAGGUUUUCGGAUCGUAAAGCUCUGUUGUGAAGGAAGCGUUACUUAACCAGAAAGGGACGGCUAACUACGUGCCAGCAGCCGCGGUAAUAC